rnacentral:lncRNA from 1 species
UGAUCUCUCUGUUGCAGCCCCAUGAAAUCAACGAACCCAAUGCUACCAUUUCUACUUUGGCUCUCUUCGUGGCAUUCUUCGACAUCAACAUCCAUCUUGGUAGCUCUUUUCUUCUUAAAAAUACGACAGAGCACCCAAUCUUUUGUAGGAACCAUGGAACUCUGCAUAAAAGCAUUGCAGAAUUUAGUAAGAUUUUAGAACCGUUUACUUAUCUCCACUUGCGGUUCUAUUAAAUUUUUUUUCUUCUUCUCACUUCUUAGAGACUCGUAGUUUUGUAUCAGCAUCUUUCAUGAGGCUAGGAAACUGAUAGAAAACAAGUAAUUGAUGAAAUACUCAAACUACUUGAUUGAAACUACUAUUAUGAUUUUGUUGACAACCUAACAGGAACUUUUUAGCUAGACACAAUUCAAAAAAGGAGAUGAGAGGGCUCACUUAGCUGACAGAAAUGUUCAAAAGGAUUGGCAAAAAAGAAGCUGCUUGCUUAGCAGAUAUCAAUUUGAGGGAGAGGGUGAUAGCGAGUACAAGUAAAGUUUUCUUUCAAAUUGAAGAAGAGGAAGGAGGAAAGGACUGAAAGCUCACAAG